GGAGGGGAGGUCAUCAGUGUGGCCACGAGCCGAGUGCGUCAUGUCACUCCACCCCCCAUGUCCCUUGGGAAGGUCUGAGACUAGGGCCAGAAGCACCCCUAAACAGGGCUCUCCCUGAGUUUCGGGGAGUUGAGUUGGCAGAGACCCGGGCUCCGCGCGAGGUCAGACUGGGCAGGAGAUGCCGUGGACCCCGCCCCCCAGGACGGGCGCGGCGGACGCCUCCUCAGCCUGAACAAGGUGCUUUUUUUGCGAAACACCGCCAGCGAAGUGAGUUCAAUGGCUGAGGUGAGGUACCCCGCAUGGGGGCUUCAUAACCCAAUUCAGACUACUCUCCCCCGUCC
rnacentral:RNase_P_RNA from 12 species